GGAGGACAGGCUAAGAGGGAUGACUGUUUUAAUAGCACUUUAUGACUCCUCAAGAUGGACUGGAAACAUCACCACAAGGAGAAAAAAGGUCUCCCCAAAGAUGAAGUCACUUAGGACCACCACAUUUAAUUGCUUGCUUGGAAAUUAAAAGUUACCGCUAAUUCAAAAGGAACUAAAAAAAAGUCCCAAAGCUUAAUGACUGCCAUUAGUACCUCCAAAGGAAGUUGCUGCUUUCUUUUUCCAUGUAUAGGAUAGCUUACUGCAUCUCUAUGGCCAUCAGAUUGUCAAUGACCAUGACAAGACUUCCAGUUUUUUCAGCUGGGAAGACUUAAAGAAACUGUGAUGGGACAGCCAUCCCUCAUAUUCCUGUGAAGAACAGACAUAAAAGAAGGUUUUUAUUCAUUUUCUGUGCCUUGCAUUGUUUAGCCAGUCACCUGAUGUUUCUGUCAUGUUGCAAAUCUGGAAAAUUACUCUUUGCUGAAAUGUUU
rnacentral:lncRNA from 1 species